UUGUUAGCAGCCGCGGUAAGACAGAGGGUGCAAACGUUGUUCGGAUUUACUGGGCGUAAAGCGCGUGUAGGCGGCUUUGCAAGUCGGAUGUGAAAGCCCACGGCUCAACCGUGGAAGUGCAUCCGAAACUGCAUGGCUGGAGUCCCGGAGAGGAAGGUGGAAUGCUUGGUGUAGAGGUGAAAUUCGUAGAUAUCAAGCAGAACACCUGCGGCGAAGGCGGCCUUCUGGACGGUGACUGACGCUGAGACGCGAAAGCGUGGGGAGCAAACAGGAUUAGAAACCCUAGUAGUCC
rnacentral:rRNA from 1 species